rnacentral:rRNA from 1 species
AUGCAGUCGACGGAACGAUGGGAGCUUGCUCCCAGGCGUCGAGUGGCGGACGGGUGAGUAAUACUUAGGAAUCUGCCCAUUAGUGGGGGACAACUAGAAGAAAUUCUAGCUAAUACCGCAUACGCCCUACGGGGGAAAGCGGGGGAUCUUCGGACCUCGCGCUAAUGGAUGAGCCUAAGUCGGAUUAGCUUGUUGGUGAGGUAAUGGCUCACCAAGGCGACGAUCCGUAGCUGGUCUGAGAGGACGAUCAGCCACACUGGGACUGAGACACGGCCCAGACUCCUACGGGAGGCAGCAGUGGGGAAUAUUGGACAAUGGGCGCAAGCCUGAU